rnacentral:lncRNA from 1 species
CGCAAACGCAUCUAACCGCAGUACCAGUCGUACAUAUCUUUUAAAAUCGCAACUACCCGGAUCCGCAAACUCCCGCAACCGCAACCGCUGCGGUUGAGAUUGAUCCUGGCAUUGUCCGUUUCACGUUAAAGCUCACUCGAGAAAAUAUCCAAACGCUUCGUGAGCUGCUCAAGAGAGAAUCAUCAAGAGAGAAUCAUAAGAGCCUACGCUUGUCGAAGUUCAUAUCACGUUCACGUGCUUGGUAAGAGCUCGAGGCUGUGAUCCCAAUAGAUGCGUGGGGUACAAAUUCGCCGUGGAUUGCAGAAGCCUCAUCGUGGCUCCGUUUAAAUAUUUCAGGAACUGUAUCUCCGCCGUCCCUAGGAUUCCGUUGACGGCGGCGACGUAUAUGGGUGAAAAAGGGGUUUAUGACUAACUAGAGAAUUAAUCACUUCCUUUAUGGCUUCAUGCUGUUAUCAAAACAUUGUGUUUGAAUGGUUAGCUUUGAUCGUUGUGUUUGAAUGGUUAAUAGUGAUCAUUGUAUUUGGCCUUUUCUUGAUGAAGCUAAACCUAGUAUUUUGUUUAGAUAGAUCGUCAUCAUCGGGUUAUUUGCAUGUUAUCUUUUUUUUUUUUAAUAUUUGAUAAACAAAAUAGCAAAGAGGAAAUUUGAAUUUCUUAAAGUUAACUGCUUACCAAAAACCUUGAAAAAGGAUUCUCAACUAUGAGAUGAAAGUGAACAAGGAGAUGAAGAAACGGUUGAGAAGUCGUCCUCAACAUCUUCACACCUCUCCCCUCUUGCUCUCU